UACGGAGGGGGCAAGCGUUGUUCGGAAUUACUGGGCGUAAAGGGCGCGUAGGCGGCUUAUCAAGUCAGGCGUGAAAUUCCCGGGCUCAACCUGGGGGCUGCGCUUGAUACUGAUUGGCUUGAAUGCGGGAGAGGAUAGUGGAAUUCCCAGUGUAGAGGUGAAAUUCGUAGAUAUUGGGAAGAACACCGGUGGCGAAGGCGGCGACCUGGGUAGAUACUGACGCUGAGGCGCGAAAGCGUGGGGAGCAAACAGG
rnacentral:rRNA from 1 species